UUAUCGUGCAGAGGAAUAUGUAUUUUGUAUCAACAACUCUGUACAGCAAAAAAGAGGAGGGUGACUGCCUGAUCAGUACUAGCGACCUACAACCCUCCAACGCUUCAACGAACGGAAUCAGUGACCGAUUCACUCAGAAUCCGGCCACGUUUGCCGAUGAAUAAGCAUGAGUCACUGUGCACCAAAAUUUAUGCACCAGCAGAUGAAGGAAGACAUGUGACCGCAUUUUUCCUCGCGCAAUGCGAGGUCUAGUUAUACGUAGGCGAGGUAAUCCUGCUACCUGGCGGCCAUAAUUGACCUCAAAGUCAGCUGUUUGUUAUGAUUUGGUUUUGGGUGGACAGAUUUUGAAGCUCACAACCGUCAGAACAACGGACAUUGUCCCUCGUUUUCAAGACAUUUCGGCGUCAUCAAACUAGUUGUACUUCUAUUGAAAGGGCGUUUUCCAUCUACAAAGUAUGGCGGCUUUUUCAAAAACCUCACUUGAUGGCAAACUUGUUCAUGGAGUGAAUGAGACCCGAGAGGAUGGAUAACAUCAGUAUAGUGAUGUCGAACAUACCGCGAUGCUAAGACAUUGAUUCUCCAGAAGAGCAUAUCCAACACUAUGGAAUUGACCCUCCACAAAAACGAAAGGCGGAUGGCAGUCAAUUCAAUUGUAAGACAACACUUCAUCAUCACCGGGGCUCUCGGGGCCGUCACCUGCCUUUUGAAUCAACUGUGGCUCUCCAAGCAAGCGGCUACCAAAAAGCACCAUUCAACAAACUGCAUGGCUCUUCACAGGCACUCACCUACGUUUUGAUCUUUGUUUUGAUUUGACAUUUCGGAUGGAUCCCGUGAAGAGUGAUUGGCGUCAAUGAUAGUGAACAAGGUCAAAAUCAAAAUGAAGAAGCUUGAGGAUAAAAGCGCUCAACCAGAUAUCUUUCAAAAUAACGAGUUAUCAUUCAAGAUAAAGAAAGUCAAAGCUCACAAAAACCGCCAUUUGGAUGAGAAAUGUGCUUUAGUCAUAUGGAUCGAAAGUAAAACCGGAAAAAUGAUUCCAGCAGAGGAAAAAAAUGGAAUACCUGAUUAGAUUCAUGUCCAUCUGAUGAGUUUGCCAACUAUGGCACAAUGUACUUGAAAUAUGGAAUGUCAACGAGCUUCCCGCCAAAUCGGCCUGCUCUUGGUCGUAGCAACUCCGAGCCACUUUCCGAAUCAAACUAGUAACAUAAGAAACGUAGAGAUCUCUUCAAUUACAGGCAGGUCACUUUAUAUCAUUCACUUUUAAGUGGUUCGUUUCAGGCGGAAAAUUCAAACUUUUUUUCAGUGCAUGUUUCUUGAGUUCCCAAGGCAUGGUUUUGGGCUCAAAUUUGGCCAAGAUCAUCUCUUCAGCAAGAUUUUGUGGUCGUAUGUCAAGCUUAUUUGGAAAAAAGUGAACGAUUUAGGAGAUAAUAAAUGUUUGCUUUUGUUUGCAGUUGACAUCUCUAGAAGUUCGUGGUAUAAUCCAACAUUUGCCGCAUAACCCAGUCAUUGGGGCUCAAGGAAUCGAAGGUUCAAAGGCUUCUCUGGCCGCUUCUUCCCAAUCACGUCCGUAUUAACGCCAUGCUCUCAGGCUGUCCAGAGAUUUGGCUGGAAAGAGCAUUGGAUAUCAGUUCUUCUUUCUUCCCGUCCACUAUUUUUGGGCCACUCACUCUUCAUGAGAUCUACUUGGAUUGGCAAUAGAGCGAAGGUCGAAUCAA